GCCUCAUUGGCUCAGGGGCAGAGCGUCUGUCUAGUAAAGAGAAGGUCGCUGGUUCGAUUCCAGCAUGAGGCA
rnacentral:tRNA from 1 species